GGCUCAGUCGGUUAGAGUGUGGUGCUGAUAAGACCAAGGUCGCGGGUUCAAUCCCCGU
rnacentral:tRNA from 1 species